UACGUAGGGCGCAAGCGUUGUCCGGAAUUAUUGGGCGUAAAGAGCUCGUAGGCGGCUUGUCACGUCUGCUGUGAAAUCCCGGGGCUCAACCCCGGGCGUGCAGUGGAUACGGGCUGGCUAGAGGCAGGCAGGGGAGAACGGAAUUCCCGGUGUAGCGGUGAAAUGCGCAGAUAUCAGGAGGAACACCGGUGGCGAAGGCGGAUCUCUGGGCCGAUACUGACGCUGAGGAGCGAAAGCGUGGGGAGCGAACAGG
rnacentral:rRNA from 1 species